CUCGAAACUGUUGCUAGGUGUCGCGAAUCUUUAUGGCGUUGACGCCGCGCAUCUCUGC
rnacentral:sRNA from 1 species